UUUUAUUCAUGUACUCAUGCAUUAAACAUUUUUUCCGUCCCACAAUUCCCUACGAUAUCUGUGCGAAGUGUCGUUCUUUUGGACUCUGCGAAUUUCAAGUUUCUGAAACGAAAUAGCUAGACUAAUUAUCUGUUUAUAGAAUUGAUGUUCGAAAUCAUGGUUUCUGGGUGAACUUCAUUGGAGCGGAAAAUCUUGGAGGGAACAUCAAUACUAUUCUAAUGACAUUCCAUAGGAAUAAAAAUCCAAUGGGACCAAGUUCUUAGCAGUUCACACCUAGUCAGAAGUACAAAAUUGAGAACCAUGCCAAUCAGCAAGUGUUAGUUACAAUCUAAUGAGGAACAGGAUAUCUGAAUGGAAAAAUUGCAAGGUUUCCCACUUCCUAAGCUGUUUAAGUACUGGUAUCACAACAUAAGUGCCAAGAAGAGAUAUGAAACGGUCUCAAAAUUUUUGCUGGUG